rnacentral:rRNA from 1 species
CCUACGGGAGGCAGCAGUGGGGAAUCUUGCGCAAUGGGCGAAAGCCUGACGCAGCCAUGCCGCGUGAAUGAUGAAGGUCUUAGGAUUGUAAAAUUCUUUCACCGGGGACGAUAAUGACGGUACCCGGAGAGGAAGCCCCGGCUAACUUCGUGCCAGCAGCCGCGGUAAUACGAAGGGGGCUAGCGUUGCUCGGAAUUACUGGGCGUAAAGGGAGCGUAGGCGGAUAGUUUAGUCAGAGGUGAAAGCCCAGGGCUCAACCUUGGAAUUGCCUUUGAUACUGGCUAUCUUGAGUAUGGGAGAGGUAUGCGGAACUCCGAGUGUAGAGGUGAAAUUCGUAGAUAUUCGGAAGAACACCAGUGGCGAAGGCGGCAUACUGGCCCAUUACUGACGCUGAGGCUCGAAAGCGUGGGGAGCAAACAGGAUUAGAUACCCUGGUAGUCCACGCUGUAAACGAUGAGUGCUAGUUGUCGGCAUGCAUGCAUGUCGGUGACGCGAGCUACGACAUAAGACACUCCGCCGUCGGGUAGGUACGGUCGCGAAGAAGUUAAACGUAACGAAGAAGUAGUAGACGNGAGAGAGCGACGACGACGACGACGGAGGAGGAGG